rnacentral:rRNA from 1 species
ACGUGAGCAACCUGCCCCUCACUCUGGGAUAAGCGCUGGAAACGGCGUCUAAUACUGGAUACGAGUUGGAGCCGCAUGGUUACCAACUGGAAAGAUUUUUUGGUGGGGGAUGGGCUCGCGGCCUAUCAGCUUGUUGGUGAGGUAAUGGCUCACCAAGGCGUCGACGGGUAGCCGGCCUGAGAGGGUGACCGGCCACACUGGGACUGAGACACGGCCCAGACUCCUACGGGAGGCAGCAGUGGGGAAUAUUGCACAAUGGGCGGAAGCCUGAUGCAGCAACGCCGCGUGAGGGAUGACGGCCUUCGGGUUGUAAACCUCUUUUAGCAGGGAAGAAGCGAAAGUGACGGUACCUGCAGAAAAAGCACCGGCUAACUACGUGCCAGCAGCCGCGGUAAUACGUAGGGUGCAAGCGUUAUCCGGAAUUAUUGGGCGUAAAGAGCUCGUAGGCGGUUUGUCGCGUCUGCUGUGAAAUCCCGAGGCUCAACCUCGGGCCUGCAGUGGGUACGGGCAGACUAGAGUGCGGUAGGGGAGAUUGGAAUUCCUGGUGUAGCGGUGGAAUGCGCAGAUAUCAGGAGGAACACCGAUGGCGAAGGCAGAUCUCUGGGCCGUAACUGACGCUGAGGAGCGAAAGGGUGGGGAGCAAACAGGCUUAGAUACCCUGGUAGUCCACCCCGUAAACGUUGGGAACUAGUUGUGGGGUCCUUUCCACGGAUUCCGUGACGCAGCUAACGCAUUAAGUUCCCCGCCUGGGGAGUACGGCCGCAAGGCUAAAACUCAAAGGAAUUGACGGGGACCCGCACAAGCGGCGGAGCAUGCGGAUUAAUUCGAUGCAACGCGAAGAACCUUACCAAGGCUUGACAUACACCAGAACACCGUAGAAAUACGGGACUCUUUGGACACUGGUGAACAGGUGGUGCAUGGUUGUCGUCAGCUCGUGUCGUGAGAUGUUGGGUUAAGUCCCGCAACGAGCGCAACCCUCGUUCUAUGUUGCCAGCACGUAAUGGUGGGAACUCAUGGGAUACUGCCGGGGUCAACUCGGAGGAAGGUGGGGAUGACGUCAAAUCAUCAUGCCCCUUAUGUCUUGGGCUUCACGCAUGCUACAAUGGCCGGUACAAAGGGCUGCAAUACCGUGAGGUGGAGCGAAUCCCAAAAAGCCGGUCCCAGUUCGGAUUGAGGUCUGCAACUCGACCUCAUGAAGUCGGAGUCGCUAGUAAUCGCAGAUCAGCAACGCUGCGGUGAAUACGUUCCCGGGUCUUGUACACACC